AUUGAACGCUGGCGGCAUGCCUUACACAUGCAAGUCGAACGGCAGCACGGGAGCAAUCCUGGUGGCGAGUGGCGAACGGGUGAGUAAAGUAUCGGAACGUGCCCAGUCGUGGGGGAUAACGUAGCGAAAGUUACGCUAAUACCGCAUACGAUCUAUGGAUGAAAGCGGGGGAUCGCAAGACCUCGCGCGAUUGGAGCGGCCGAUAUCAGAUUAGGUAGUUGGUGGGGUAAAGGCUCACCAAGCCGACGAUCUGUGGCUGGUCUGAGAGGAAGACCAGCCACAAUGGGACUAAGACACGGCCCAGACUCCUACGGGAGGCAGCAGUGGGGAAUUUUGGACAAUGGGCGAAAGCCUGAUCCAGCCAUGCCGCGUGCAGGAUGAAGGCCUUCGGGUUGUAAACUGCUUUUGUACGGAACGAAAAGGUUUGGCCUAAUAAGCUGAGCUCAUGACGGUACCGUAAGAAUAAGCACCGGCUAACUACGUGCCAGCAGCCGCAGUAA
rnacentral:rRNA from 1 species